rnacentral:rRNA from 1 species
AACGAACGCUGGCGGCAGGCCUAACACAUGCAAGUCGAGCGGACCUUUCGGGGUCAGCGGCGGACGGGUGAGUAACGCGUGGGAAUAUGCCCUUCUCUACGGAAUAGUCCUGGGAAACUGGGGGUAAUACCGUAUACGCCCUUUGGGGGAAAGAUUUAUCGGGGAAGGAUUAGCCCGCGUUGGAUUAGGUAGUUGGUGGGGUAAUGGCCUACCAAGGCGACGAUCCAUAGCUGGUUUGAGAGGAUGAUCAGCCACACUGGGACUGAGACACGGCCCAGACUCCUACGGGAGGCAGCAGUGGGGAAUCUUAGACAAUGGGGGCAACCCUGAUCUAGCCAUGCCGCGUGAGUGAUGAAGGCCUUAGGGUUGUAAAGCUCUUUCAGCUGGGAAGAUAAUGACGGUACCAGCAGAAGAAGCCCCGGCUAACUCCGUG